UACGUAGGUGGCAAGCGUUGUUCGGAAUUAUUGGGCGUAAAGGGCGCGUAGGCGGUUUGUUAAGUCUGUCGUGAAAGCCCCGGGCUCAACCUGGGAAUGGCGAUGGAUACUGGCGAGCUAGAGUACGGUAGAGGAGAGUGGAAUUCCCGGUGUAGCAGUGAAAUGCGUAGAGAUCGGGAGGAACAUCAGUUGCGAAGGCGGCUCUCUGGACCAGUACUGACGCUGAGGCACGAAAGCGUGGGGAGCAAACAGG
rnacentral:rRNA from 1 species